UCCGUUGUCGUCUAGUCCGGUCACGAUACCUGGUUUUUACCCAGGCGACCCAGGUUCAAAUCCCGGUAACAGAA
rfam:Picea glauca, whole genome shotgun sequence.